rfam:Picea glauca, whole genome shotgun sequence.
ACAUGCCUACAACAUAGCAUUAAUACAUCGGAUCCCAUUAGAACUCUGCAGUUAAUCACGAUUAGGCUAGAGUAGUACAGGGAUGGGUGACCACUCGAGAAGUCCUAGUAUUUUACAUGCC